UAGGGAAACUUACGCUAAUACCGCAUACGACCUUAGGGUGAAAGCGGAGGACCUUCGGGCUUCGCGCGGAUAGAUGAGCCGAUGUCGGAUUAGCUAGUUGGCGGGGUAAAGGCCCACCAAGGCGACGAUCCGUAGCUGGUCUGAGAGGAUGAUCAGCCACACUGGAACUGAGACACGGUCCAGACUCCUACGGGAGGCAGCAGUGGGGAAUAUUGGACAAUGGGCGCAAGCCUGAUCCAGCCAUGCCGCGUGGGUGAAGAAGGCCUUCGGGUUGUAAAGCCCUUUUGUUGGGAAAGAAAAGCAGCCGGUUAAUACCCGGUUGUUCUGACGGUACCCAAAGAAUAAGCACCGGCUAACUUCGUGCCAGCAGCCGCGGUAAUACGAAGGGUGCAAGCGUUACUCGGAAUUACUGGGCGUAAAGCGUGCGUAGGUGGUUGUUUAAGUCCGUUGUGAAAGCCCUGGGCUCAACCUGGGAAUUGCAGUGGAUACUGGGCAACUAGAGUGUGGUAGAGGAUGGCGGAAUUCCCGGUGUAGCAGUGAAAUGCGUAGAGAUCGGGAGGAACAUCUGUGGCGA
rnacentral:rRNA from 1 species